rnacentral:rRNA from 1 species
UAGUAUUCAAUUGUCAGAGGUGAAAUUCUUGGAUUUAUUGAAGACUAACUACGGCGAAAGCAUUUGCCAAGGAUGUUUUCAUUAAUCAAGAACGAAAGUUAGGGGAUCGAAGACGAUCAGAUACCGUCGUAGUCUUAACCAUAAACUAUGCCGACUAGGGAUCGGAUGAUGUUAAUUUUUUAAUGACUCA